UAAAAAUUUAAUUUUAGUUUAAAAAUUAAUUAUUUUAUUUAAUGUGUAUAUAUAAAUAUGAAUAUAAUUUAUUUAAUCUAAAUUUUAAAAAAAUUUAAGAAUAAAUUAUUUUAAUAUAUAAAAUUAAAAUUAAUUAAAGAAAUUUAAUAUUAGAAAUUAAAUUUAUUAUUUAUUAAUAAAGUGCCAGCAGUAGCGGUUAAACUUUUAAUAAAAUUUAAUUAUAAAAAUAAAUUUAUUAGUAUUAAAAAUAAAAUUUUAUUAAUAUAAAUAUAAUUUAUAAAGGUUAAAUAUUAUAUUUUUUUUUAUUAUUAAAAAUUUAUAUUUAUUUAAUAAAAAAAAAAAAAUUAAGUAAAAAAUUAGGAUUAGAUACCCUAUUAUUUAUUAUUAAAAUUAACUAUUUAAUUAUUAAAUGAAAAAUUCAUUAAAUUUAAAAAAUCUGACGGUAUUUAAAUUAAUUAGAGGAACUUGUUAUUUAAUUGAUAGUCCACGAUAAGAAAAACUUUAUUAUAUAAAAUUUAUUUAUGUAUGAUCGUAAAAAUAAUUAUUAAAAUUUUUUUUUAAUUAUUUUAAAUUUAAAAUUUUAUAAAAUAAUUUCAGAUCAAUAUAUAGUUUUAAAUUAAAGGUUUAAAUGAGUUACAAAUUUUUAUAAAAAAAUUAUAUUUUUUUAAUAAAAGAUUAAAAUAGGAUUUAUAUGUAAAUUUAAUAAAUUAAUUAAAUUGAUUUUAAUUUAAAAAUAUGUACAUAUUGCCCGUCACUUUCUUAUAAAAGAAAAAAGUCGUAACAAAGUAAAAGUAUUGGAAAAUGUUUUUAGAAGAAU
rnacentral:ncRNA from 1 species